UCGAGAAUUUUUCUCAAUGGGGGAAACCCUGAAGGAGCGACGCCGCGUGGAGGAUGAAGGCUUUCGGGUUGUAAACUCCUGUCAUUUGGGAACAAGAUGCACCGGUUAACUGCCGGAGUAUUGAUAGUACCAGAAGAGGAAGAGACGGCUAACUCUGUGCCAGCAGCCGCGGUAAUACAGAGGUCUCAAGCGUUGUUCGGAUUCAUUGGGCGUAAAGGGUGCGUAGGUGGCGCGCUAAGUCGGGUGUGAAAAUUCGGAGCUCAACUCCGAAAAGCAUUCGAUACUGGUGUGCUUGAGGACUGGAGAGGAGACUGGAAUUCAUGGUGUAGCAGUGAAAUGCGUAGAGAUCAUGAGGAAGACCAGUGGCGAAGGCGGGUCUCUGGACAGUUCCUGACACUGAGGCACGAAGGCCAGGGGAGCAAACGG
rnacentral:rRNA from 1 species